CCCGCCUCCGAGUCGGGUGAGGGAUGGAUGCCGAAACUGCUAGCGCGGGCAAUUAUUCUGCACCUCGCUACCUUCGCUCGUUACGCCGCGCCGCGAAACCAAUUACGCUGUAACAACUGCAAUAAGCUGCCGGUCCUGCUCGGAUGCGCAGGGGAGCGCGCGGCGGGGAGACAGGGGUGCGCAGAAGACGACCUUAUUACCGGUCUUCCCCGUCUCGGGUUCCCGUGACUCUGUGACAGCCAGAACACGCCAGUGCCGGCAGGCCCCGGCACCGGGACGCUAAUAAUUUCAGUCAUGUCUGUCUCGCAGCAUUUGGAAAUAUAUUAAUCUUUCUUACACCUCCAGUCAGAACCUUCAGGCCACCCUAUAAAUCCAGCAGUUUGAAAAAGGGAAAAAAGAACAGGCAGGACAUCCGUCAAGGAAGCUUAUUAAAUAUCUCUGCUGAUUAAUCUUAUUGACGAGGUGAACCCCCGUAAUUUUCUCCGCAGCGACUUGAACGCGGAAAGAGCUAUGGGCCUGCUACUUCCAGCCGAGGUGACUGCUGCAACUAACAAUUAAGUAAUGAACAGAUAAUAGCGUUACUGUUAACCGUAAUAAGUGAAGCCCAGAGUCAUGAGCCGAUGGUUUCAAUAAA